GAGAUGAAGGAGGUGAGGAGGAGGGACAAAGUGAUGAAGGAGAUGAGGAGGAGGGACAAAGUGAUGAAGGAGGUGAGGAGGAGGGACAAAGAGAUGAGGAGGAGGGACAAAGUGAGGAAGGAGGUGAGGAGGAGGGACAAAGAGAUGAAGGAGGUGAGGAGGAGGGACAAAGUGAGGAAGGAGAUGAGGAGGAGGGACAAAGUGAUGAAGGAGGUGAGGAGGAGGGGCAAAGUGAUGAAGGAGGUGAGGAGGAGGGACAAAGUGAUGAAGGAGGUGAGGAGGAGGGACAAAGAGAUGAGGAGGA